GCCAAUAAAUGUUCAAAAAGAUUUUCCAUUAUUCAUUGCUAUGGCUCAAAACGAAAUCUAUCUUCGUGGAAAAGCUGGAACAAAAGCUUCCUUGGAAGUUUUCAUGUCGAUUAUGAGCCGAACCUUCAGUUAUGUGACUGUCCUCAAAGAGUUCUAUUAAUGACACAAGCAAAUAAUACAAUUUAUUGAAUUUGUAAUACAAUUUAUUUUGCAAUGUAAUUCUAC